rnacentral:rRNA from 1 species
UACGAAGGGUGCAAGCGUUACUCGGAAUUACUGGGCGUAAAGGGUGCGUAGGUGGUUUGUUAAGUCUGCUGUGAAAUCCCCGGGCUCAACCUGGGAAUGGCAGUGGAUACUGGCAAGCUAGAGUGCGGUAGAGGGUAGUGGAAUUCCCGGUGUAGCAGUGAAAUGCGUAGAGAUCGGGAGGAACACCAGUGGCGAAAGCGGCUCACUGGACCACAACUGACGCUCAUGCACGAAAGCGUGGGGAGCAAACAGG